rnacentral:rRNA from 1 species
GACGAACGCUGGCGGCGUGCUUAACACAUGCAAGUCGAACGGAAAGGCCCUGCUUUUGUGGGGUUCUCGAGUGGCGAGGGGGUGAGAAACACGGGAGUAACCUGCCCUUGACGGUGUGAUAUCUUCAGGCAACUGGGGCUACUACCGGAUAGGAGCUCCUGCUGCAUGGGGGGGGUUGGAAAGUUUCGGCGGUUGUGGCUGGACUCGCGGCUUAUCAGCUGGUUGGUGGGGUAGUUGCUUACCAAGGCUUUGACGGGUAGCCGGCCUGGGAGGGUGACCGGCCACAUUGGGACUGCGAUACGGCGCAGACUGCUACGGGGGGCAGCAGUGGGGAACAUUGCACAGUGGGCGCAAGUCUGAUGCAGCAGCGCCGGGUGCGGAAUGACGUCCUUCGGGUUGUAAACCGCUUUCGCCUGUGACGAAGCGUGAGUGACGGUAAUGAGUAAAGAAGCACCGGCUAACUACGUG